AGAAUGAACGCUGGCGGCGUGCUUAACACAUGCAAGUCGAGCGAGGCCAGGGGGGCAACUCCCUGAGUCGAGCGGCGGACGGGUGAGUAACACGUGGGUAACCUACCCGGAAGUGGGGAAUACCUCGGGGAAACUCGAGCUAAUACCGCAUGAAUCUCGAGGACGGAAGUCCUUUGAUCAAAGCGGGGCCGCAAGGCCUCGUGCUACCGGAUGGGCCCGCGCCCGAUUAGCUAGUUGGCGAGGUAAUGGCUCACCAAGGCGACGAUC
rnacentral:rRNA from 1 species